UGAGCCUUGACUUCCCAGGAACGGUGGGACUGGGGUGGUGCUGUCACCCAGGGGGACGUGGGGCUGUCCCACAGUUUAUAGGGUGAUGGGCUCAGGUGCUCAGCCAGGGUGGGAGGGGGAAAAUGUCUCAUCCCACUCCUCCCACCUUGGCACAGGGACAGCAGCUCAUUAAAAGCCAGGCAGGGUUUGGAGCAAGGAGCAGGGGCUGAAGAGUGAACUGGAGUGAGUUUGGUGCCAUCACAUCUCCCCACGUGGAUUCUGGGUGCUGCUGGAGGAGCUGGUACCCGGCCAGAGCCUGGUACUUGGAGCCUGCAGGAAUUCGGUGCUUUUGCCUCGAUACCCACCUGCUCAUUAGGACCAUCUGGGAAUGGGAAUUGGAGCUACAAACAAGCUGUGAGUGUUGAGGUGAGCAGAACAAAUAACAUAAAAACAUCCUAACUGUAGGCAUAUUGCUUUUGAGCAUGUGAUAAGGGGAGCUUAU
rnacentral:lncRNA from 12 species